CAGUCGCCACGGUAAUACGAAGGGUGCAAGCGUUACUCGGAAUUACUGGGCGUAAAGCGUGCGUAGGUGGUGGUUUAAGUCCGUUGUGAAAGCCCUGGGCUCAACCUGGGAAUUGCAGUGGAUACUGGGUCACUAGAGUGUGGUAGAGGAUAGUGGAAUUUCCGGUGUAGCAGUGAAAUGCGUAGAGAUCGGAAGGAACAUCUGUGGCGAAGGCGACUAUCUGGGCCAACACUGACACUGAGGCACGAAAGCGUGGGGAGCAAACAGGAUUAGAUACCCCCGUGUCCCUGUCUCUUAUACA
rnacentral:rRNA from 1 species